CGGUAGUUUUCCACAGAAAACUAAUCCCCGAUGGUGAAUGAUGCUUUCACACAAAAUGGCCACAGCUGGACGGCUUUCCAAACGGCACAGAGCCUUCUUUUAACGGGCAAAUCCUCGGUUUUUAAUGAUGCUACUUAGUGGCAAAAUGUUUCCCCCCUCAAGAUGGAGAACGCUGCCCGGUCCACUUUCACACAAAAUACAGCGCGGCGUUGUCCACACACACUCGCUCCCCACUUCUUUCAGAGGGGGAUAACUUCUGAGACUUUUAGAAAAAGCGUUCGUUCCCACUUUUCAUGCUGUCAACACUUUAAACACAGUGGAAAAACCCCGUGUUGGAGGUUUGAAGUAGUACGAAUUCCAUUUGACGGAAAGGUUACAAUCAUCUAUCCGUGCUUCUACUUUGUUUGGUGUUUUUGAAUGGCAGGCCCGGUUGCCAUGGUGCCACGAUAAGGUGCAGAAUCUGGUUCCCGUUUAAUCCAAAUGAAACGCAGCGUUUAAGGAAUCUCCCUUCAAGUGGUCGGGCUGGUUGCUAUGCUGCGAUUGGGAAGCCAACCGCAUGGCCAGUCAAACAAACAUCCCUUUUUCUGAGUCACAGGCCGCCUCCCCCUCUCGCCUCGCCGGUCCAAGGGGUUCCCUCGCCAUUAGUCUGUAAUUAUGCCCGAAGUCUCUCUCUCGCUCGCUCACUGUCAGUUGCCGCCUCUCUCGCCAACCAGCCCACACACUGGCCGCUCUGUUACCCCCUCUCUGCCCCUUCCGGCCCCCUCCGCUCACCUUCGGGCUCCGACAAAGCGCCUCCUGGGCGAUAUUUUUAGGGGGUGUUUUCUUUCCACCUGGUUCCACAAACAAGCACUCCACUCCACUUCUGGAGGAGGAAAAUCUCAAUCUGCUCCCUCACUACGGCCUCACCUGGCGCGCUGACCAGGAGCAGCUGGUUCUGUUUUGCCUUUUUCUGCGUCCAGCAUUAAAAACAGGUCCGAUCAGACUCAGAUCAGAGUUUUGUGGCAGAGUGUCUAAAGAGAAUCUGCCACCCAUUUGCUGUGGGAAUUUAGAUGAAAAAUGACUGGAAAUAGUGCUUGUGCCUUUUUACAAAAUACUAAAAUAAUGUGUUUAGUAACUAAUCAAGUGUGUCAAUAGCAAACUUAGGUGCAUUUUUCUGCUAUGGCUUCAUGGCCACAUUUUAAAUGUCAGAAGGUCGCUGGAUGAUCAGUGUGUAGUGUUCAAAUCUGGUGUAAACCCCCCUCAAAGGUCAGGGGUCAAACCAGUUUGCACCCUGCCGGUGUCAUCCUGCCUUUAUCUCCGUGCGUGAGAGAACGCUGCAGACAUCUGACCACACAUUUCCUCUGGUGUGGGAGGAAGGGCUCGGCUCGGAGGCCGAAGGCCCGACCCAGUGACUCCUCGCAGCAGGAAGAUGGGGCGGAGGAGGAGGAGAGGGAGUCGUGGCUGCAGAGGAACAACCGGUCCGGGGGGGGUGCAGGGUGUUAAAAGACGAGGACAAGACAAGGAGAUCCAUUGACGGACAGGAUGUUCUGCAGCUGAAGAGAACUGUAGAAGAGACGCGCUAAGUCCGAUCCUGAAGGCGUUCUGACGAUUACCCAACUCACAGAGAACCUUGAGACGUUAAUUUGGACCCCCGCACUUCAUGCCAAGAGGGCGAGUCGAUCUUCAGGGAUCUGCAAGCUAAUUACAGCUCCCAGAGUGAGAAAGUUAAUCAACGUCUCCUCAUCUGUGAAGCAUUGUUUCCAUUUUUAAACUCCAUGAGGUCAAAGUUCAGAGUCCCUGUCUUGGCCGCUGUUACACGCCGGGUCUCUACAUCAAACAAAGGCCUCACGGUGAAGGAUGGACUUAAGGGUGCGACUAAGUGAGCGGUUGGGCCGCAGCGUGUUCGCCUGUUUGGUGCAGGGAGGAGGAUGAUCUUUGACAGAUCUCUGAACAUCACACCCUCCUGACCACCCAGGCCUGCAGGACACACACACACCCUCUGGGUUUGGAGUGAUACUCAUGGAUCUGUUGAUGGAUUAAUGACUCAUGUGUGUUACUGAGGCAAAAAGACUGUGUGUCUUGUGUGCGUUCUUGCAUAUUUCUUGUUGCUGUUUUUGCCGUUUGCGUAUCAAAUCGCACGUGUUGACCACUGUUGCCAGGAAACAACCGUGGUGGCCAUUCUCUGGUGAAGCUUGGUGGGUGCUGCAACCCCCCCACGCCCCCCCACUACCUCACCUACCUCACUAGAAAAUAAAAAACAAUACCAGAAUGCUGCUAUAGUCAGAACUUUAUUCUAGUGGGAGUUUGG
ensembl:lncRNA